CUUGACUCAAGGACAGGAAGUAACAGAUGUUGACUGAAAGGUUACAGGCUGAACAUAAGAGGACACAGCACAAAUGUUUCAUAUUCACUCAUCUCUCUAAGUCUCUCUGCUUUGUCGAUGAUGACGCCAAUGAAUAAAUUCAGGGUAAAGAAGGACCCAAAAAUGAUGAAGAUGACAAAGUAGAGGUACAUGUAGAGGUUUAUCUCCUUAAUGGGCUGCUCUUCGACCUGACACACAGAGCUCCACUGCUGAGGAGGAUCAUGAAGAUGAUGAAGGUCUCAAACCAGCUGUGCUCCACAAUCUGAUAGCAGGUCUUCCUUAACCUCCACCACAUCUGUCCCAGACCUUGUGUAGUGUUAAUAUUACAACACUUACACCGUCGCAGGCAAACUUCAGGGAAACACUCCUCUGGGUCCAUGGCAUCAUCUGCUAUCUCAGAAUCUUCUUCCUCAUCCUCCCCUGGCUUCCUUAGGUCCACAGUACUUCCCUCUGACAGACUUAUCACUUCCUGGUAAACCAAACA